rnacentral:rRNA from 1 species
AGCGAACGCUGGCGGCAGGCCUAACACAUGCAAGUCGAACGGAUCCUUCGGGAUUAGUGGCGGACGGGUGCGUAACACGUGGGAACGUGCCCUUUGGUUCGGAACAACUCAGGGAAACUUGAGCUAAUACCGGAUGUGCCCUUCGGGGGAAAGAUUUAUCGCCAUUGGAGCGGCCCGCGUCUGAUUAGCUAGUUGGUGAGGUAACGGCCCACCAAGGCGACGAUCAGUAGCUGGUCUGAGAGGAUGAUCAGCCACACUGGGACUGAGACACGGCCCAGACUCCUACGGGAGGCAGCAGUGGGGAAUCUUGCGCAAUGGGCGAAAGCCUGACGCAGCCAUGCCGCGUGAAUGAUGGAGGUCUUAGGAUUGUAAAAUUCUUUCAGCGGGGACGAUAAUGACGGUACCCGCAGAAGAAGCUCCGGCUAACUUCGUG